rnacentral:lncRNA from 1 species
CCUCUUCCUCCCAAACCCUAACUCAAGCUAAAUGAGAAGAAAGGAAUCUGCCAAAAAAAACCCCGUGGGCUUAGACUCAGGUGACGAGCUAUCAAUGAGAUGGUAUUGUGCGAACAAUUGCCCCUAACAAUUCUUGAACCUCCAAUAGUAGUGGAGGAGCAAGCCCCAUUCCCCAAUACAAGUGACCCAACAACGACAGGUCAUCAAUGUCGAAGCCAUGUGAUAGAUAUUCCUCACUCUCCAACUAGAGGGCUUAUCAUUCAAAACCCCACACCAAGCCAUAUAAUCUCACAACUGGAUUCAUAACAGCCAAAAACAGAAGAACUUGUGGUUAAAGACGUGGAAGUAGAACGAACCCAAAAGAGAGCUUGAGUUAGAAAGGGCAAAUAUGUUCUCCUACCUCU